rnacentral:rRNA from 1 species
UACGUAGGGGGCAAGCGUUAUCCGGAUUUACUGGGUGUAAAGGGAGCGUAGACGGAUGGACAAGUCUGAUGUGAAAGGCUGGGGCUCAACCCCGGGACUGCAUUGGAAACUGCCCGUCUUGAGUGCCGGAGAGGUAAGCGGAAUUCCUAGUGUAGCGGUGAAAUGCGUAGAUAUUAGGAGGAACACCAGUGGCGAAGGCGGUUUACUGGACGGUAACUGACGUUGAGGCUCGAAAGCGUGGGGAGCAAACAGG